rnacentral:rRNA from 1 species
CAGGAUGAACGCUAGCGACAGGCUUAACACAUGCAAGUCGAGGGGCAGCACGGGAGUAGCAAUACUUGGUGGCGACCGGCGCACGGGUGAGUAACGCGUAUGCAAACCUACCUAUCAGAGGGGAAUAACCCGGCGAAAGUCGGACUAAUACCGCAGUAAAACAGGGGCACCGCAUGGUGAUAUUUGUUAAAGGAAAUUCGCUGAUAGAUGGGCAUGCGUUCCAUUAGGUAGUUGGUGAGGUAACGGCUCACCAAGCCGACGAUGGAUAGGGGAACUGAGAGGUUGGUCCCCCACACUGGUACUGAGACACGGACCAGACUCCUACGGGAGGCAGCAGUGAGGAAUAUUGGUCAAUGGGCGGGAGCCUGAACCAGCCAAGUCGCCGUGAAGGAAGAGGGAUCUAUGGUUCGUAAACUUCUUUUGCAGGGGGAAUAAAGUGCAGGACGUGUCCUGUUUUGUAUGUACCCUGAGAAUAAGGAUCGGCUAACUCCGUGCCAGCCGCCGC